CGUCUCGUGGCGUAGUGGUCAACGCGCCCCAGCUAGAGAUCGGGGAGUCGCGAGUUCGAUUCUCACUGAGAAGA
rfam:Aedes aegypti strain Liverpool supercont1.157 genomic scaffold, whole genome shotgun sequence.